rnacentral:misc_RNA from 1 species
UCUCCGUAGGUGAACCUGCGGAGGGAUCAUUACAGAGUUCAUGCCCUCACGGGUAGAUCUCCCACCCUGUGUUAUUAUACUUUGUUGCUUUGGCAGGCCGCCCGCGUGGGCUACCGGCUCCAGCUGGCAAGUGCCUGCCAGAGGACCCCAAACUCUGAAUAUUUUAUUGUCUGAGUACUAUAUAAUAGUUUAAAACUUUCAACAACGGAUCUCUUGGUUCUG